GCUAGAGGAUCGACGUUUUUACUAUCGACAAGACGUCCUUCACUAAACGCACACACAGGCUAGAGAUGUUCCGUAUAUUCAGAACGUUCAGAAAGUAAAGCGGCGGAUAUACGUUCGAAAGCAGUCGAGCCUCAGUUCAGUAUCCGAGCGCGUUGGAAUAGUCGCGUUUCACAACCGCCCGAUCAACGAAAACCAAGUGCCUGAUGCAGAACUAGUGAUGUGCCUUGUGUGACAGUGUUUCCAGUGCCUAGUACUAAAUAUAUAUUUUUUUAUAUUUAACGUAUUACCUGUGGUAUUAGUGACGCGAUAUUUCAAAAGUGAUAACGCGAUGGAGUUGAAAAGGCUUUCUAUAUGCUUGGCGUUCUUCGUGCUGGCCUACAUCUCACAUUGUUCAGGUAAAACAACAUUCCGAAACAUCAAAGAAGGUAAGACCAUACAAUACGAAAAUAGUUCAAAACAAACCAGGUACGAGCUCACUACAGUCAACAAAAAGUAACAAUAAGUAACCACCACAUAAAAGAACCAAGAAACAAGUUGGAACACACAUAUCGAUGCGGUAACAUCACUAUAAAGCCAAACAAUGACAUAGAGAAUGUGUUUUAUUUUUAAAACUAUUCGACAUUUGAAUUUCGAACUGUCAAACGCGUUUGCUUUCUGUUCGGCUCAAAAAUAUAUGGCCGACUUCCGACACCUUGGAUACGGUUCUAAUUUUGAAUUGUACAAAACAAUAUGGCUGCGUUUAUAAAGGUAUACUCACAGCUUUUUCUUUACUGAAUGAGUUUAAGUCAUUCAAUGGGUACAUUUGAGUAUUCAUAAUAGGUUCCUUCAGAGUUAUAAGCAGUAGAAAAUAGUAGACAUCCUAGUAAUUUCUGCCUAUAGUUCUUAUAUUAAAAAUACUCAUAUUAUCAACCCAAGAAUUUAUUACGUAUAGGUUGUAUGAUCACCGAUCUUUGCCUCUCUCGUAUCGAACAAAUUGAAAAACAAAAUAAAAGUAGUAACAUGCUUGUAAUGCUGUCGGUCGUAUCAAAGGAUCACACUCUGACCUCAAUGCGAGUCAAUUUUCGUUAACAAUGUACCCAACAAUAGGUCGGUCGGUGAAUCACCAAGGGAUUCAUAUGCUAACCAGCGAUCUCCAUAUCUAUUAUGUUGUCCUAGUACUUUGCUGUAACAAAAUUCUUUUUUUUUUACAAAUACCAAAAUAUAGGAACCAAUGACAACGCAUUUAUUUAACUUGGUUAAAGAUAUGAGAUGUCAGAUCUUCGUCAUUUUUCAAAAUUGCCGUAAUUAAAAUUACAAAGGUCUAGUCACGACAGGCACUCGCUCUAAAAGUUUUAUGCUUACUCCUACAACUAAUUUUCUUUGAUUUAUGACAAAAAAAAUAUUCUAAUUCUGCUCAACGCCCUUACAAACCUUCAGAAACCAAACCAAAAUCUUGUAAUAUACACCUCUUUUGUAAAGGCUAAAAAACCAAUCCUAAAGUCAACCCUAAAAACCCAAACCCAAAACUAAAUCAGUUUUGGGUUUGGGUUUCUUAGGGUUAACUUUUUCACUACCUACUUACUAAGCUCUCCCCACUAGAGACGUGUAAAAUAACCCUAAUAUUUUAAUAACCCCCAUUGAUCAGAGGGCGUAACCAAAAAAAAUUCCAAACAUUG
rnacentral:lncRNA from 1 species